CCUACGGGGGGCUGCAGUGGGGAAUAUUGGACAAUGGGGGGAACCCUGAUCCAGCCAUGCCGCGUGUGUGAAGAAGGCCCUCGGGUUGUAAAGCACUUUCAGUGAGGAAGAACGCCUGGUGGUUAAUACCCAUCAGGAAAGACAUCACUCACAGAAGAAGCACCGGCUAACUCCGUGCCAGCAGCCGCGGUAAUACGGAGGGUGCGAGCGUUAAUCGGAAUUACUGGGCGUAAAGCGCGCGUAGGUGGCUUGAUCAGCCGGUUGUGAAAGCCCCGGGCUCAACCUGGGAACGGCAUCCGGAACUGCCAAGCUAGAGUGCAGGAGAGGAAGGUAGAAUUCCCGGUGUAGCGGUGAAAUGCGUAGAGAUCGGGAGGAAUACCAGUGGCGAAGGCGGCCUUCUGGACUGACACUGACACUGAGGUGCGAAAGCGUGGGUAGCAAACAGGAUUAGAUACCCCAGUAGUC
rnacentral:rRNA from 1 species